GCCAGCUUACUGAUUUCUGUGGAAACAAAAAUAAGUUCAGGGGAGCAGCCUCCCUCCUCAACGACCUCAUCUAUUCCUUACUCAAAGUCUUAGAAGAAGACCCUGGUGACUGGGGUGUCAGAGUGUACCUGUCACGCGGAACACAGAGAGCCGAGAUGGCUGAACCCAAGUGCAGCGUUGUUCGUUAGACGUUGAGGGAAGAGGCAAGGUCUCAAAACCAGGGACAGGCGAACAGGACAGGAACGAGGAUCCAUUGACGUGGUCGGAGAACGAAGGAAGGAGUCAAAAAACCGGAGAUCGUGGACAGAGCGAGAGUGUAGUAACACGAGGAAGGGCGGUUGUCCCAAACGAGAUUCCGCAACGGUACGGGAGCUGAAGAGGGUCUUUAUAGGGCUGUCGCUGCGAUUUUGCCCGAUUCACUGGAAAAGCAAGAGGGGAACUGGAGGAAGGCCGCGGUUCAGUGGGAAGACCAAAGGCGAAGGAGAACCAAACUGUGCCAGAGAUGCAAACUGGGGUGAGCGAUGUGUGGGGAGAUAAAGAAAGGGAGCCGAGGCCCGUCGAGAAGGCAACCUUCUCGAGGAAUCCUGCAUGAAACGUCCAAGGAUGACCAAUACGUGCGAGACCUACCGGGCAGCUGCUCAGGUUUCCCUGAAUAUAGUAAACAGGGUACCUGAAACGUUGAGCAUUUUGUAAAGCCGGUCAGUUAAGGUCACACAUGGAACAUUUUCUAUUUCACCAUCUUCUCUUAAGAAUGUAAUUUCCCAUGUUUUUUCUAAAUUUUUUCCCCCCAAACUGAUAUGCCAGAUCGCUCCAUCAAGCUCAGACGUCUCAUUCGUAUUCAUAUUUUAGUGCUGCUAAAUGAAUGAACAUUACAGAGAAUGUGUUUUUCAUCACAGUAUGGAAUAAAUAUGGUGUAUGUAUCCA
rnacentral:lncRNA from 1 species